GAACGAUAAAACAGCAAAAGCUGGUUAUUUACGUAGAAAUUGAAACCAGUCAAAUCUCUCGAGGGAUGUCUGCUAACAAACGUUGGCUUAACUUUUCAAUGUAAUAAGCCUUCAAAUUGGGUUAGUGGGUGCCAUUACGUUUGUUGUUGCUUUUGUCAUCGUCCCAUUUGUUAGAUUUCAUUUUGCCAACCUCAUUUUUGUCGUUGUUCUUGUCACUUUGGUCACUUUCUUAUCGUUGUUGUUGCCUUUGCAUUUUUUUUAUUGCUGUUGUUGUCAUCGCGUUUAUCAUUUCUGUUGUCGUUGUCACCUUUUAAUGUCGUCAUCGCGUUUGUUGUUGCCGCAUUGUUCUUAGCGCGUUGUUCUUGUCAACACGACAAAAGCAAAAAACAAAAGCAAAAGACGAACACACAGACAAUACAGACACAAUACAUUCAUUAUCGAAUACUUUCGUUCUUUAAUAUUUGCAAAAUUUUCUUUAGAAAAGACAGCUCUGUGAUAUAGUUCAAGAAACAUAUCAAGUUUAUGUAAUAGUGGGCGGCGAUGGUGAAGGGACUCGAAUCAGCUGUUGUAUAUUACAACGUUCUGUAGAAUUAAGUACUCAAUACAAACGUCGAGUGUAGUAGUUUAUUUAGCCUGUUAUUCUGGAGAUUUUACAGCGUCAAUCGGGACAAAGACAUCAGAAAGGAUCCUUCAAACUGCCCAGGCCAAACUAGGGCGUGUGGUAAGAUGAUAAACAUUACUACUGCUGCUGCUGCUGCUGCUACC
rnacentral:lncRNA from 1 species